rnacentral:rRNA from 1 species
CCUACGGGCGGCUGCAGUGGGGAAUAUUGCACAAUGGGCGGAAGCCUGAUGCAGCAACGCCGCGUGAGGGAUGACGGCCUUCGGGUUGUAAACCUCUUUUAGCAAGGAAGAAGCGAAAGUGACGGUACUUGCAGAAAAAGCGCCGGCUAACUACGUGCCAGCAGCCGCGGUAAUACGUAGGGCGCAAGCGUUAUCCGGAAUUAUUGGGCGUAAAGAGCUCGUAGGCGGUUUGUCGCGUCUGCUGUGAAAUCCCGAGGCUCAACCUCGGGCCUGCA